rnacentral:rRNA from 1 species
UACAGAGGUGGCAAGCGUUGUUCGGAAUUACUGGGCGUAAAGGGCGCGUAGGCGGUUCGUUAAGUCCUGUGUGAAAUCCCCCGGCUCAACUGGGGAACUGCACAGGAAACUAGCGGGCUUGAGUUCGGGAGAGGGAAGCGGAAUUCCGGGUGUAGCGGUGAAAUGCGUAGAUAUGCGGAGGAACACCGAUGGCGAAGGCAGCCCCCUGGGCUAACACUGACGCUCAGGCACGAAAGCGUGGGGAGCAAACAGG